CGGCCACCAUGCGCGGCCGCGGGAAAUCGAUUAGGUUGAUCUGGGCUCAGAUUGAACGCUGGCGGCAUGCGUGACACAUGCAAAGUUGAACGGCAGCACGGGGGCAAACUUGUGGCGAGUGACGAACCGGGUGAGUAAAUACAUCGGAACGUGUCCUGGAGUGGGGGAUAGCCCGGCGAAAGCCGGAUUAAUACCGCAUACGCUCUGUGGAGGAAAGGGGGGGAUCUUCGGACCUCUCGCUCAAGGAGCGGCCGAUGGCAGAUUAGCUAGUUGGUGGGGUAAAGGCCUACCAAGGCGACGAUCUGUAGCCGUUCCGAGAGGACGACCAGCCACACUGGGACUGAGACACGCCCCAGACUCCUACGGGAGGCAGCAGUCGGGAUCUUUGGACAAUGGGCGCAAGCCUGAUCCAGCAAUGCCGCGUGUGCGAAGAAGGCCUUCGGGUUGUAAAGCACUUUUGUCCGGAAAGAAAACCUCGUGGUUAAUACCCGUGGGGGAUGACGGUACCGGAAGAAUAAGCACCGGCUAAUUACGUGCCAGCAGCCGCGGUAAUACGUAGGGUGCAAGCGUUAAUCGGAAUUACUGGGCGUAAAGCGUGCGCAGGCGGUUCGUUAAGACAGAUGUGAAAUCCCCGGGCUUAACCUGGGAACUGCAUUUGUGACUGGCGGGCUAGAGUAUGGCAGAGGGGGGUAGAAUUCCACGUGUAGCAGUGAAAUGCGUAGAGAUGUGGAGGAACACCGAUGGCGAGGGCAGCCCCCUGGGCCAAUACUGACGCUCAUGCACGAAAGCGUGGGGUUCAAACAGGAUUAGAUACCCUGGUAGUCCACGCCCUAAACUUUGUCAACUGCUGUCCGCGCCUUCAUUACUUAGUGACGCAGCUAACGC
rnacentral:rRNA from 1 species